CCGAGUUUACAACUCCCAAACCCCUGUGAACAUACCACUUGUUGCCUCGGCGGAUCAGCCCGCUCCCGGUAAAACGGGACGGCCCGCCAGAGGACCCCUAAACCCUGUUUCUAUAUGUAACUUCUGAGUAAAACCAUAAAUAAAUCA
rnacentral:misc_RNA from 1 species